rnacentral:rRNA from 1 species
GAUUAACGCUGGCGGCGUGCAUAACACAUGCAAGUCGAACGAUGAAACUUUAAUGAACCCUUCGGGGAGAAUUAAAGCGGAUUAGUGGCGAACGGGUGAGUAACGCGUGAGUAACCUGCCUUACACAAGGGGAUAGCCUUUGGAAACGAAGAAUAGUACCCUAUAAAACCAUAAAAGCACAUGCAAUUAUGGUCAAAGUGAUAGCGGUGUAAGAUGGACUUGCGUCUGAUUAGCUAGUUGGUGAGAUAAAAGCCCACCAAGGCAACGAUCAGUAGCCGGCUUGAGAGAGUGUACGGCCACAUUGGGACUGAGACACGGCCCAGACUCCUACGGGAGGCAGCAGUGGGGAAUUUUGCACAAUGGGGGAAACCCUGAUGCAGCGACGCCGCGUGAUUUAGAAGGCCUUCGGGUUGUAAAAAUCUUUUGUAUAGGAAGAAAAUGACAGUACUAUACGAAUAAGGUCCGGCUAAUUACGUG